rnacentral:rRNA from 1 species
CCUUAGAGUUUGAUCCUGGCUCAGGAUGAACGCUAGCGAUAGGCUUAACACAUGCAAGUCGAGGGGCAGCACGGAAUAGCAAUAUUUUGGUGGCGACCGGCGCACGGGUGAGUAACACGUAUGCAACCUACCCAUGACAGUGGAAUAACCCGUCGAAAGGCGGACUAAUACCGCAUAAUAAAGAGUGCUCGCAUGGGUACUUUUUCAAAGAUUUAUCGGUCAUGGAUGGGCAUGCGUUCCAUUAGGUAGUUGGCGGGGCAACGGCCCACCAAGCCUGCGAUGGAUAGGGGUUCUGAGAGGAAGGUCCCCCACACUGGUACUGAGACACGGACCAGACUCCUACGGGAGGCAGCAGUGAGGAAUAUUGGUCAAUGGGCGAGAGCCUGAACCAGCCAAAUCGCGUGAAGGAUGAAGGUAUUAUGUAUUGUAAACUUCUUUUACAGGGGAAUAAAGUGCGGGACGUGUCCCGUUUUGUAUGUACCCUGAGAAUAAGGAUCGGCUAACUCCGUGCCAGCAGCCGCGGUAAUACGGAGGAUCCAAGCGUUAUCCGGAUUUAUUGGGUUUAAAGGGUGCGUAGGCGGGGAAUCAAGUCAGCGGUGAAAGUUUGCGGCUCAACCGUAAAAUUGCCGUUGAAACUGGUUCUCUUGAGUGUAGAUGAGGUGGGUGGAAUUCGUGGUGUAGCGGUGAAAUGCUUAGAUAUCACGAAGAACUCCAAUUGCGUAGGCAGCUCACUGGGCUACAACUGACGCUGAGGCACGAAGGUGCGGGGAUCAAACAGGAUUAGAUACCCUGGUAGUCCGCACAGUAAACGAUGA